UACGGAAGGCAGCAGUGGGGAAUAUUGCACAAUGGGCGAAAGCCUGAUGCAGCUAUGCCGCGUGUAUGAAGAAGGCCUUAGGGUUGUAAAGUACUUUCAUCGGGGAGGAAAAAACAAAACUAAUAAUUUUAUUUCUUGACGUUACCCGAAAAAGAAGCACCGGCUAACUCCGUGCCAGCAGCCGCGGUAAUACGGAGGGUGCUAGCGUUAAUCAGAAUUACUGGGCGUAAAGAGCACGUAGGUGGUUUUUUUAAGUCAGAUGUGAAAUCCCUGGGCUUAACCUAGGAACUGCAUUUUGAAACUGAAAUACUAGAGUAUCGUAGAGGGAGGUAGAAUUCUAGGUGUAGCGGUGAAAUGCGUAGAUGUCUGGAGGAAUACCUGUGGCGAAAGCGGCCUCCUAAACGAAUACUGACACUGAGGUGCGAAAGCGUGGGGAGCAAACAGGGAUUAGAUACC
rnacentral:rRNA from 1 species